CAAUGCAUCUUAGUCAUCUAUCUGUAAAUUCGGUUUAGGUUUACUAUUAUUAUCAGUUUACUACUAUCGUCAGUUUGCUACUAGUUAUUUGUAAUAAAUGCCUCAAGAUUAAUAAAGAAUAUUAUUAUUAUUAUUAUUAUUAUUAUUAUUAUUAUUAUUAUUAUUAUUAUUAUUAUUAUUAUUAUUAUUAUUAUUAUUAUUAUUAUUAUUAUUAUUAUUAUUAUUAUUAUUAUUAUUAUUAUUAUGUCUCGUGUGUCUCUACUUUAUUUUUUGUGCAAGAAAGCAGAAAACAAGUAUGGGGGAGAUCCCUCGACAUGCCAAACACACUCCGACUACACCACUCCACGAUUCAGGUGCACACUCUGCACACUUUACUUUACACAUACACAUAUCUUGGAUUAUGCAGAAUACUGUUUCCGACAUGACAAAUUAAAAAGAUUAAAAUAUUUCUAAUCAUGAUUAAUCUCAAUCUGUGAUAUUUCCUGAAACUUGCAAUUAUUAUAAAAUCAUUUUAAAACCCUGUGUUACUUAAGACACUAUGAAAUGUGAGAUGGUAGAGUUUCUUAUUCUUGAUAUCAUUGUUGCUUGGAGAAUUUAUUUUAAAAUCUUUAAAAUUCUAGCUACCAUCCUCAGUGUUUUAUAUGCCUGAUAAAAAACUGAAAAUACUAAUUAUGAUUAUAAAAGCUAUCUACUCUGUAUUGAGUUUGUUCAAAAUGAGUUAGACCCUUGUUGAGAGAUUUAUCAUGCUCCUAAGAUCAAGACAUUUAUUCAGAAAGAUUCACUCUUCCGAAGUAUUAUUGCAUUAGAGGCAUGGGCUAUGCAAAAAUAAAGAUAUUUCGAGGAAAUAAAAAGGAGCAAGUGCUCGACAACCUCGUAGGAAAAAUGGACAACUGUCCGGCAGUAGAAUUAGGGGUACCUCGGUAUCCAUUAAAAAAAAAGAGAGAAAAAAAUGAUAAGCCCAUGGUCCCUCUAAUAAGCAAUAUGCCAGCAAGGGUUGACAAAGAUUUUAAUUUCCAAAGUCUUUGAUCUAAGAGUAUGACACUCCCCUCCUCGGAUCCCGUUUUGAUCAGGCAAUAAAUGCAAAGUAAGUAUGCUUAAGAAUUUUUACAAAUAAAAACAGCCUCAGUGAGAUAUAUAAAAGAUAAUGAGUGAUCUGAGAGAACCUAUGAGGAUAAAAAGGUAUGCUAGCUUUCUUUCAAAAUGAUACAAAAACUCCAAGUAACAGGAUUGAGAAGAAAGGAUCUUUACUCUUAAUCAUAUACUUCCCUGACUACAGUACAUAGAGGAAUUUUAAUACCCUGCAAAUAUAAAGAAUGUUUUAGAAUAUUUUACCCCAAGUAUUGUUCUUAACCAUCCUUUUCUCGAGGACGAGUAAAAGCCUAAGUAUGGGGGUAUUUGUUGACGGUUCUUAAGUAUCAGUUUUAAUUAUCAAAUAAACAAGAGAAAGGACCAAUAUGCAACCAACACCUAGAAUUAGGGUUUGAUCUGACAGAAUUCCACGAGUUUUGUUGUUUAUCUGUUUCUGCAGUGGGUUAUCCGGAAAUAAGGAAGAAAGGCCCACAUGUCGGGAUUACAUAGAGAUAUCAACGCACCACGUAAUUUUCUACCAUCUAGAAGACUCCAGAAGCCACGGGAAGAAAGCAGAGGCCGAAAGGGGCCAGGCCUAGGGCGCCCGCCAUGGUGACCUGGGCGCCCGCCCCCUGCUGGAUUCCGUUCGGGACUCUCUUCGCACACGAUGUUCCACCGACCUAUUGGAUCAAGAAUAACGUAGUACCACCUCGCCUACCGACCCAAAAACGCAUAGAGGAGGAGGACUAUAUAAGGAGACCCCCCUGGCCCCUGGAGAAGACAAGAAAUUAUCAUAGAGAUUGAGGGGCGCCCUCGAAGGAAAACCUCUUCUCUAAAUAAUAUUUCUUUUUAGGCUUAGCAACCAAUGUAAAGUAGAAAUAGAUCUUCUAGUUUCUACUAGAUUGAGAGAGAUAGAGUGGAGGUGUAGAUUGGAGGAAGCCCGGCCUGUCGGUGUCUACUCCAAGCUUGUACCUGCGGGAUCAAGUUCUCCUAACCCGAAGCUUGCUCCUAGGAUUCUUUAGUAUUUCGACUUCUAAAUUCUAGUAAGUUCUUGUUUUAUUGUUCUUCUGGUUUAUGAGUUUGCUUUAAUCUCUUCGCGUAGAGUUUAGAGUAAUCAUUGCUAGCGUAAAUGUGGUGUUUAGGCUGGGGUACUCAUAGAUAUUCCCUGACUAGCUAGGCCGUGGUAGUAGUGAGGAACGUGACAAUACCGAGUUACCUUUGCAGACCAUAUCUCGUUAGCAGGAAGGAUAGGGUUUAUAGGUGCGGGUUGAACAUCCUUUGUGGUGUCUAGAUUCCGUUAGCCUCUCCAAUAGAACAUUAGAUCAUCCUUACCAAGGUUAGAAGGAGAUUACGGUUGCAGUCUUCUCUAUUUAUCUCUCACAUCGAGAGACAUUCUUUGUUGCCUAAAGGGUUAGUAGUAAUAGACCGGUUAGUCAGAUGCACUCUUUCUCCUAGUGGUAAAAAAAUAAAUACGAUACUCUGGAUAAUUUCCCGGGUGAAGUGCUCACCGAUAUCCGUGCGCUUGCGGAUCAAUUCCUUAUUGUGCUCCCAAAUAUCAACACAGCUUUACCCCUGUAUUUUUCUAUUUUGAUUAUUUUAUGUAGGGUAAUGUAUGAAUAGAAGACAUCUUCCAGGAAAUUUUAUUGAUGACUCCGAAGCACUAUUCAGAAAAACCAAAGCCAAGCUCAGAUCGUCAACACUUCAGCGUAAAGCUUCGUCUAAACCAGAAGACCACCGAAGUUUCAUCCGGAACUUGUCGACCGAGUUCAAAGCCAUGGCAAACAAGUCGAUCUACGAGUUCUUAGCUCCCACUACAGACAACAUCUGCACUGGACCUGCUGUGGAGAUCGACUGCAACUUUGAGCUCAAGCCUUGGCUCAUCAACAUGGUGCAAGCCAACCAGUUCUGUGGGAAGGUGCACGAAGAUGCUAGUGCUCAUCUCCAACACUUCCUAGAGAUUUGCAGCACAUUCACCAUGUGAGAAGUCCCCAGAGAUGCUAUACUACUUCGCCUCUUCCCAUUCUCACUGUUGGGGAGAGGGAAGCAGUGGUUCUACGCUACAAAGGAGAAGAAUACUACGUGGGCACUCUGCUCUAUGAACUUUCUGGCUAUGUUCUUUCCCAUGGGCAAGACCAAUGCUCUCUGUGGGAAAAUUACAAGUUUUCAGCAACAACAUGAUGAAUCCGUUCCAGAAGCAUGGGAGCGCUUCUAAGACUACAUCCUAGAAUGUCCCCAUCAUGGAAUGGAGAGCUGGCUACUAAUGCAGACGUUUUAUCAUGGGCUCGGCAACAGUGCCCGAGAGACCAUGGAUGCUGUAGCUGGAGGAGCAUUCCUAUCACUCACCAUACCACAAGCCACAGAGACCAUGGGUGCUCAAGGAGGUAGACAUGCUGUCUACCAAGCUAGACCUGCUCAUGAAGAAGCUUGAUAGAGCUGGAGAUAAGAAAGAAGUCAUGCACGUCUACGACUCUCACAUGACUUGUGAGGAGUGUGGAGAUACUGGACACUCAGGCAAUCACUGCCCUAAGAUGCAUGAGGACGUGAACUACAUCAACAACAACAACUACUACUACUAUAACCGUCCUCAACAAAAUCAAGGAUGGAAUCAACAGAGGCCUAACUACUUAGGUAAUUAUCAAGGUAAUAAUUCUUACAGUAAUAAUAAUAAUUUUCCACCUCUGAGAGAGUUAGUGUCUAAUCAAGGAAAGCUAAUGGAUAACCUAUCUAAGAAAUUGGCAUCUAAUGAUAAAAUCUUAGAAAAUAUAAAUAAUAGAAUGGAUAAUUUCUCUACUGCCAUCAAGAAUCAAAUUAGCUUUAAUAAAAUGAUUGAAUCUUAGUUAAAUCAAAUAGCUGUUGCUGUUCCUGCUACUAACCCCGGUAUACCAUCACAACCGGAAGGAUUAUAAUCUGCAAAUCUUGUAGACAUGUCUGAUGCAGGUAACUACUGGAGUAACCCUGUUGUGGAAGUAACUACUGAUAUUCUGCCGGUCAAGAGAGGCGAUCCAGGAUGCCCCGUCAUCCCGAUCUCCAUUGGCAUGGUGGACUUCCCAGAAGCACUCUGCGACUUUGGCUCAAGUGUCAACAUUAUGCCAGGGUACUCUAUGAAAAAUUUUUACAUGUCCUUUAUUAGAAACAACCAUGUGUUGCAACUUGCAGAUCAGACACUAAGUUUCCCAAGGGGAAUAUUGAAGAACCUCUGCCCCUAAAACCGACAUAAUGGCCGUAGUCACCGGGUCGAGCGUCAACAUAAUGGCCGUAGUCACCUAUCAGCUCCUGUUCGGAACCAUGCCCCUAAAACCGACAUACAUUCAGGUCCAGAUGGUAGAUUAGACAUUCUGAAAGGUUGAAGGUAUAGUAACUGAUGUCCCUGUCAAAAUAGACGAUAAUUUUGUCCAUACAGACUUUUAGGUUAUUAACAUGGGAGAAGACGAGUACGAUCCACACAUCAUCCUUGGGAGACCGUUCCUCAGCACCGUUAAAGCAAUCAUCCACAUUGGAACCAGAGAAGUCCACAUGCACUUCACCUCUGAGAAGGUACGCCGCUAUUUUACUGACCCUAACUAUAUAGUUGAAGACUCUAAGCAGGUCAGGACAAGAAGAAGACGACGCAACCGCAACCAGAAGAGGCAAAUCAUCAAGGACGGAUGGGCAGACUAUGAAGGAGAAGUGGUAAGGUCUGAAGACAUACAGCUUGAACAGAACUGUCCUGAGGAGACCGUAGCACCGAGUCAGGUGUGGAGAGAGAAGAUAGUUAUACAUGAAGAGGAGGCGCCACCGGAACUACCGACUACGCCAUCCAGCGAAUCCCAGGACGACUGAGAAAACAGAGAGUCCCGUUCGGAGGACUUAAAAACACCGAAUGCCUUGCCAAGAGGUAAACUUGGUAGUUAUCCCUUUCCUUUCAAAUCAUUUACUUUUUGUUAAAAAUAGCUAGUUCAGUUAAUCAGGUUCAUAUCAUCUUGAAAAGAAAAAUAAAAAUGUUAAAACCAGUAAGCCCCAUGUGAGUAUACAAGUGGCAUAAAACCCAUAAGUACAUUCAUUGUGGUGGCAUAAAAAAAUAAUAAUAAAAUAAAAAUAUUCUUCUGCUCUAUAAAAAUGAAAAUAUAAAAAUAAAAUUGUGAUCCUACCAAAGAAAGUAGCAUUUAUUGAGGAGGCUCAACAUGAUAAAGGCUAGAUAUUUAUGCUAACACCUAAUUAGUUCCACAAAGCUUUGUAGUCUAUUUGAGCUCCACAGAAUUCAAGGAUCAAGAAGACUAGCAGACGGAGGACAUUCUAAUCGCUGUCAGGGUGCUGUCGACUUUCAAAUACACCACCACCUGCUAGCUACAUCAGAAGAAAUUAUGUCAAAAUCCAGCUUGGGGGAGAGCACCCCCAUUUAUCCCGCUAAGUAUUUCUAUCUACAUUUAUACUUAUACUAUAUUAAAAUAAAAAAAUUAUACAUAACCAUGAAAAAAAUGGACAAGGAAAACCAUUAAAAAUUAUACAUAACCAUUAAAACACUACCACUUGCUCUAAAAAAAAGAAAAAAAAAGAGAAAGGAUACGAGGAAAUAAAAAGGGGCAAGUGCCUGGAACCUCAAAAGAAAAGAAAAAGUGAGACGAGAGGUAAAAAUGGACAAGUGUCCGACAGUAGAAUUAGGGGUACAAGAUACCGACCUGAGAGGAAAGAAAAAGAAAAUGUAGAGCAUCUCAUUCUCCUCAAAAGUUUCAAAAAGCAAGAAAGGUAUGUGUCCCCUCAAAAGAGCACAAGUAGAAUUAGACUUUCACCAUUGUUAUCACCAUCAUCACCAUACACCAUUCAUUCGCCACACAUGCACAUCUUGAUUUGACUUAUUGACCUGUUUCUCUGGAUCCAUGGUUGGACGCAAUAAAUGUCUUGUAAGUAUGUAUACUUUAUCUCCCACCUAUGAGCUCCAGAUAUCAAAAGCCUUAUUAAAGUAGGGUGAGAUAGAAGGCAAGGUCACUAUGCUUCAUACCACAAAUACUACAUACUUUGAGAGAAGGCAUAUACCAUCACUGCCUUGGUAAGGAUCCGGAAAUACCACAGAAGAGAGAUCUGAGAGAGUCAUACAAGGAAUCUCUGAGUUUUAUUUGAAAAUCUGCAAAAACUCUAGAGCUAUAGCUGAUCAAGAAUAAGAGACAUGGCGCUUAACUAGACCGUUCUAUCUUUUAACUGCUCAAGACAGAAGUGACGAUUACAAGUCCCAUGGUGAAAGGUAAAAUGAGUAAGUUUUAAUUCUUGACGGUUUACUCUAACUCAGAGAUGAGAUCUUAUUUGAAAGCAUGUGUACCGUCAAAACUCAAAGGCAUUACAGCAACUUCUGAUCCAUCAUUGAGAUUAUCCUUGCUCAGGGACGAGCAAGAGGUAAGCUUGGGGGAGUUUGUUGACGAUCCUUAAGUAUCAAAUAUAAUCAACAAAUAAAUAGAGAAAAGGACCCAAAUGCAACCGACACCCAGACUUAGGGUUUUAUCUGACAAAAUUCCAUGAGUUUUGAUGUUUGUCUAUUUCUGCAGGGGUUAUCAGGAAAUAUGGCGGAAAGGCCCACACGUCAGGUUUACAUAGAUAUAAUUACAUUCUGCGCAAUUUUUCCUAAUCUAGAAGAGUCCAGAAGCCACGGGAACGAGCGGGAGGCCGAGCGGGCCCGGGGACAGGGCGCCCGCCCUCCCCCCUUGGGCGCCCGCCCUGCUACCUGGGCAAAUCAGGCUCCGUCUCACGGAUCAUGCUCCACCGACCUAAGGGAUUAAGGAAAAUCGUGCGAUUAAGGUCGGUUUGAUCCGACGGCCCACGUUCAUUUGGAAGGGCUAUAUAAGCAGGCCCCCUGGCCCUUGGAGGAGGCACCUCUGAAACCCUAAUUCAUUCAUUCAUCUUGGGAGAAGAAGUCUCUGAUCAAGCCCUAGAGCCACCACAUCAACUAGAUCUCUAGUUUAGCAUAGCUACAUAGGAUUACAACUAGAAGGAGUCAAUCUUCGAUUGGUUUUCGGAUCUGUCAAGAGGAUUCUUGGUAAUUCCUCUACUAUUCUUCAUUUGUUCAUCAUUGUUCGUCAAUAUUAUGAAUAUGACUUUGCUCUACUUCAAUAUAUUGAUUAUGACUUUGCUCUAUUUGUUUAUAUUUGCAAUUAUAUCGUUCUUAGUUUAUCAUAGUUAUAUGCUUGGCUUAGUUAGAUUGGAAUUAUAUACAUGUUUAGGAUCGUAUAGCGUUUAUCCAUGUGUACAGUGGGUAAAUGAUAAGUAUUGUGUAUGCGUGGUGCCUAUAUCGUAUUUAUCUACGAUUGUACCCUAUAUGCCAGAUCGUGGGGUAGUUCUGGUGGUGACAGCUCCAUUGAUUCUUAUAUAGUCCCCCUCCCGUGUAUAGGGCAGGCAGAGCAACAUUAUUAUAGGGGAGUGAUUGCUAUAUUUCUCAUCUUCCUUGAUAAUAUCACUAUGCAUGGGCGUAGUCCUGUCUCGCAAUGAUUGCCAAGUAUAAUUGCACUAACUAUGAUAUGCUAGACUUUAUAGUUAAGAAUAACUUAGGAAAUAUUCUUGUAGUUCAUCCUAAUUCCAUGCUAAUGACUUGCUAGAAUAUCUGUUGAGGUGCUUAUCAUUAUUAUAUGUGGCUAGUUAUGCUGAUCAGAUUAAUUAUCUUUGUCACCAUUCAUACUUAUCUAUAUUUUAUGUGACAUUUAUCCCUGUAUGAAAGAGAUAGAUAAAUGCUCUCUAUUACACAUGCAAUGAUAGAUACUCAAUUCUAUAUUUCAUUCCAUAAUCAACAUUGAUGAUUAGCAAUCCCUUCCUAGUGGUAAAAAUAUAAAUAACGAUACCUAGAAUACUUCCCGGUUAAAAAAUGCUACAUCGGUAUUAAUCUGUGCACUUGCAGAUCUCAUUUAUUAUUCAUUCAGAAGAGCAAUUGCAUAUUUCAAUACCGCGUCUUUCAUGUCAUGCUGGGGAUGACAACUUGGCUUAAGUGGCAUGAGGGAUAGGUUCGGCAUUUUUGGCGCCGUUAUCAGAAUUAGAAAACUAAGUCUACUUUUGGUAAUGACGUUAAGAAUGCCCAACAAGCAUGUUAAUCGCUUCAUUAUUCAAUAUGGAGAGGCAGCUAGCAAAGAUUAAUUAAGAGUUCGAUUAUUUUCAUCUUCUUUGUCUGGAUCGGCAUUCACAUGGUUCAUAUCAUUGCCACCAAAUUCUAUUAUUACUUGGGCUGAUCUAGAGAAACAAUUUCAUAAGUAUUUCUUUGCUGGAGUCCAUGAAAAGAAGCUUACCGAUUUAGUAAAAUUGAGGCAACGUAAUGAUGAAUCGGUAGAGAGCUUUGUGCAAAAGCUACGAGUUGUGAAGAAUAAGUGCUACAACCUGGUGCUGGAUGAUCGGCAGCUUGCCGAUCUAGCUUUUCAAGGGUUAUUGCCACAUCUCUAGGACAAGUAUGCUUCUUAGGAGUUUGAAAGCCUUAGUCAUCUUGUACAAAGGAUCUCUGAUCAAGACAUUAGGGUUUUUGAGCCUAAAAAGAAUUGGAGCAAAAAGGUGUCAUUUGUCGAUGAGGUAGAAGACACUGAUUGUGAUGAAGAACUAGUUAUCGGCUUAGCUGAGUCGGUUAAGAAUAAAAGGCCGAUAUCUUGUCCUUUUGGUUAGAGAGAACUAGAGAAGUUCACCUUUGACAUCACCAAAGCCGAUAGGAUAUUUGAUCUUUUGCUUCAAGAAGGUCAAGUUAAGCUAUCACCCAAUCAUGUGAUUCCAUCAGCAGAAGAGUUGAAGAGAUCAAGUACUGCAAAUGGCACAAUGCAACUUCACACAGUACCAAUGAGUGCAAGGUGUUCAGGCAGCAGUUGCAAUUGGCUAUCGAGUCUGGAAGAAUUAAGUUUGACAAUUCUAAGACCUAGAAGCCGAUGAAAAUCGAUCAGCAUCCUUUCCCAGCAAAUAUGUUGGAUGCCAAGGGUAAGACCAAGGUAUUGACAUCAGAAACUGCUGAGAAGAACGCAUCGGUAGAUCCCCAACAUCGGAUAACUACUAAUGACGCAAAAGGCAAGGGUUUGUUGGAAGAAAGUGGUAGUUCCAAGAAACCUCCUCGACCUGGAAUUGUGAUCACUCAUCGACGGCAAUAGGGAGGAAGGCAGGAGGAGGAUUAGCGUCGGCGUGAGGACCAAUAUCGACAACAGCAAGAAGAGAAACAUCGGGAAGAGUGGCAUCGGCAUAAAGAUCAUUGGAGGCGCCCGUUUUUCUUCUACUGCUGGAAAGAAGUCGUUAAAUUGCCAACUAUUGAAAAAUGCCCUGAGUGCAAUGGUUACUAUCGAGCCAAUCGACCUGGUAAUCGAGGUUUGUUUAUCAAUGAGCCGAUGAGAGGCAGAGCAUCAGUGCAUGAUCGAUUGGGGGCAUACUCAGUGUACAUGGAAGGCUUUGUAAACACCUUGGCUAUUUCCAAGGAAUCAAGAAGAGCUUAAGGAGAUGGCAAACGCAAGAGUUCCCGAUGAAGAAAUAUUCUAUAGGGACCCUAAUAUAUGUCGGGUAGAAUCAACUGAGGUCCGAGCCAGUCUCAAAAACUAAGCUUCCCCAAUGGUGCCUUGAGGGUUUGACAAAGACACAGAAAAGGAGGAUGCAGCGUGAGCGUCUGGAAGACCUAUAAAGAGAGAAAAGCUCUUCCAAUGAGAGGCCGGAACAUCAGCAGUGGCAGUCGAAACACAAGGGUAAGGGCUCAUCGACAGUUAUUAAUAUGGUAUUUAUGUUGCCGAUGGAGUUUUUGUCACCUUCUAAUGAUGAGGAAGUAGUUGUUCUCUCCGAUCAUGUAGCUAAGUUGGCACUAGAUCCAAUGAUGGCUAUUUUUGAGAAAACUACUAAUGACGAGAGACAUCAUCUCAAAGCUUUGUUUGUUAAGGGUAGAGUUGAUGGGCAGCCUAUAUCUAAGAUACUCAUCGACGGGGGAGCUGUGAUUAAUAUUAUGCCCUAUGUGAUGUAUCAGAAACUUGGCAAAGGAGAUCAAGACUUGACCAAAACCGAUAUGAUGCUGAAGGAUUUCGAAGGCAAUGUGUCACCAGCCAAAGGGGCAGUAUGCGUUGAGUUGACCAUCGGCAACAAAACCUUACCAAUGACGUUCUUUGUUAUCAAUGGUAAGGGUGCGUACAAUCUGCUUCUAGGUAGGGACUGGAUUCAUGCCAAUUGUUGUGUUCCUUCCACAAUGCUUCAAUGGCUCUCACAGUGGGUUGGGGAUAAGAUUGAGGUUGUCCUUGGUGACUCUUCUUACGUCAUCACAUCGACAGAAUCAGAUACUUAUGAGUGAACCAAAUUUAUAUUAGGAGAAGCUUGGGAGAAGGAGUUUCUUAGAGUUGCCGAUUAUGAAAUUCCACCGAUCCAAGCAGUCGGUUCUGAAGAGGUGUUUUAAUGGAUAGGUUUGCCGAUGAUGGAAAGUUAGGUCAGGGGUUCACAUCGGCUGAUAAUUUAGUAGAGGUAGAUAUUGGUAGUGGUGAUAGGCCAAGGCCUACUUUUAUGAGUGCUAAGUUAGAUUCCAAGUGUAAGCAGCAAUUGACCAAUUUGUUAAAAGAAUAUAAAGAUUGUUUUGCUUGGGAUUAUACUGAGAUGCUUGGAUUAAACUGAUCAAUAGUUGAACAUCGGUUACCUAUCAAGUCUCGUUGGUGCAAAAGCUGAUCUGCAAACACAAAAGGUUAAUACCCGAUUCAAACGUUAAGGCGUGCCAGCCGAUUUGACCUUACAAUCGACAAAGGUGGUAACUCGAACACUUUGGUCCCGACAACAGCGAUGCGCCUGGAUGUCACGGCCAAGAGGUGCUCACGCGGAACUUGAGAACACGCCGAGUUUGACUCGACAAAUUCCUAAGAACUCGUAGUAAAAGGGAAAAUAUGACGAAGUCGUCGAAAAGUAGAUGCUAGAAAAUAUGUAAAAACUUGUGUUUGAUUGAUUGAUAGAUAUUCUCAUUACAUUGCCAUGGGGUCUACAUUUAUACCCUGUUCAAAAGAACUACAACCAGACACGACUAGAACUCGAACCCCAAAUUAAACGGUAUCCGUAUACAAAAUGAAUUCUAAUAACUAAGGAAAUCAUUAAACUAUCCUCCGCAACCGAUCGGUACACUGCCACGAGUCAAUCGGCAACCCUUGCGCUUUUCUUCAUAAGCAUCGGCAGACCGCCUGUUACAGCCAUCGGCAACCAUCAGCACUAGUCAUCGGCACGAACGUAUCACCACUCCUAGACUUGGUCAUAUUCGGUUGUUUUCCCAUCGGCACCAACCUUUAUUGGCAACUCCCCUGUAGACUAGUCACCAUUGCUCCACCUGCCGAUCUACACUUCAUUAACUCCAGGUGUGUAUCCAAGGAUACGUGUCCAAAAAUAGUGUCAACACAUGCUCCCCAAUUUUGGAGUAUAAAAUCAUUAAUGCUCCGAAAUUCUCCUUAGUAACGACGCCUUUCCACAAUUACUUCUCCCAAUUUGGUAAUCAGUCACCAAAUCUGAACAACCUCAGCCCGAUUCUCUUGCAGGUUCCUCGAAUUUCUCAACUUCCCAAACCGAAUCUCCCCAGAAUACUUCCAUCGGCAACCUUUCCGUUAGACAAGACUGCCGAUGAACCGACCAGGAGAUCUUGCACAGUAAGAUAUCUUCAAAAUUAUGACCGCUUGGUGUCAAAUCACCUGCGCAAUCCCUUGAUUAUCGUGCGAACAGUUACCAUAUCCACCUGAAUACCCUCAGAUUUCACGGAUGCGACAAAGAGAUAAGUCAGAUUUGCCCCUGCCCUCCUUGUCCUAUAAAUACUUCCUUCUCCGGUACUCUUCUUCCAUCCUGUCAUUCUACAGCCUCAUACCCACCUUUCUGGCGGCGGCACUGCUCAAGAACUUCAAGAACUCCGCUCGAGGAUCUCCCUCGACAACCUUCCGAGUCUUUGAGUUCUUUCUCUUUCUGAGAGAAAAUGGCCAUCAACUUUGUCAUCCCUGAGGUUAACUUAAUCACCCCCUUUCUCCUUUAUACUUUUAUUGUACUCCUGUUCAUCUGCGAAUCUAUUUACUGAGUACAUUUUCUUCUUAUUUUUUUGCCCCUUUGAUCUCCAAACCCUUUAGGAACUGGCCGAUAAAAUCGUGAUCCCUACCGAUCAACCUCACUUUCAGUGUCUUGGCCCGUUGGGAAAUCCAGAUCCCACCGAUCUGAUAAACUCAGAGACAAAUAGGAUCCCAUUUAGAGCCGAGAACUUUUCUUUAGACCUAUGGAGAGAUACUUUUAGCUCCUGGCCCAGUUCUACCAAGGGUUGGAAAGAUUGGUUCCUAAGAAUCGGCAACUCGAACGAAGUCCGAUGGGGUGAGCGAAAAUUAGACCAAUGCAUUAGGUUAUCCAUUGCCGAUAUGGAGAGGAAUGAAUCCCUGUUGAUAGCUGCUUCAUACUUCUGGUCUGACACCCUCAAUGCUUUUGUAUUCGGCCAUGGUCCUGCCUCCCCUACUUUAGACGAUGUGCUGAUGCUUACUGGUUUGGACAUAUCAUCUGCUGAUGAUAACCAUCUUUAUGACUCCAAACCCGAGCGCAAAGUAAAAACCCGCAACAUAGGCGGUUGGGCGGGAUACAUCCAGAAGUAUCAAAAAACAGGGCCAGUCGGUCAGAGGGAACAUGCUAUUUUUCUGAACAUGUGGUUAGAUAAGUUCGUCUUCUGUGGCCGAUCGGCAGGGCCAACCUCUGUCUAUCUAUCGGCAGCAGAAAGACUGGCCGAUGGCGGCCGAUUUCCUCUUGGCCGAUAUUUGCUUGGCUCUGUCUAUCACCUUCUCCACCAGGUAGCUGAGAAACUCCUGCUAGGCUAACCCAUCGGCAACUUAGGGGGACCUUGGUGGUUCAUCAAUAUGUGGCUCAGUGUUCACAUGCAUAAGCACCUUGGAAUCGAUCUUUUUGCACAGCGCUUUCCCAGAGACAUAGCCGAAGAUUAUGAACUGGACGAGAAAGAAUUAGCAACCCGCUCCCCCUUGAACUAUGGUGAGGCCACCAUAGUCUUACCUGGUACCGGUGGCAAUGAAGACCAGGUCAGCCGAUUCUUCCAAACUCUCUAUGAGGGCCUGACCAAAGACCAGCGAGCAUGGAUGCCUUAUGAGGACACAGAAACCAGAUUCCCACUCACUUUCCACCCCUUUGAUAAUGCCCUCAACAAGGAUCACGACCAGAUGAUGGCAAUUAUCACUCCGAGAGCCAUACCAGUGAACUUCUUUGGCAGUGGGAAAACCUCCAGCAUCACCUACGAGUUCUACAAUCCAUCGGCACUGGCUCGUCAACUGGCCUUUGGACAGCUGCCGAUUGCACUCUGCUAUGCCGAUGUGGUAAAGCCAAGGGAGAUCAUAACCAGCGGUCUUGAAUGGAUCAGAGUAGCUCAGCUUCCACCAAAUGCUGAUACGUCACACACUGAUCUAUCAUCCUGGAUCCCAGUUCUCUUCAUUACUCAAGCAUACAAGCAAUGGUGGGAGGAGUGGAAAGAGCAUCUGUUUUGCGUAUCGGCUCUCAGAUACCGCGGUAUGAUCGACCCCAAGUAUAAAGUUCCUGAAAACACUAUAAGUCCGCAACCGAUGCUUUAAUAUUUUUAUUACUUUUAUCCUUAUCGGUAACUUACUUCCUCCCUUUUAAACAGGUCGACCAUACACCACCAACAAUGAGCAGGAACGGCAAGCCGAUCGAGCUCCUUCCAUCAGGCCCGAUUUCUCUCAUCGGCAACAGCGCACCAACUUUGGUAGCUCUAAUGCAUCGGAACGUGCGUUUUAAGAAGAUCACCACCAGACGAGCAAAGACAUCUCCAUCGGUUGCUGCUACUGCUUUGGCACAAGCUUUCAAGGUAAAUCCCUGACUUCUUCAAUUUAUACCGAUUCCAUUUUAUACUUACACAGUUUUUUCAGGAUACAUCGGCUACUAUGGGAACUUCAUCGGUAACUUUUACUGUUUCAACCAAAAUUUCAUCAAUACUCUGCUACAUUCGUACUUAUGAAAUUUUUGUUGUUGCAUCAGCAAACUGGCAAAUCGGCAAAGUCCAGAAGUACCAAGACAAGUGCCGAUGCCCCCCAGUCUAGCCAAGUCAAGAGAAAAGGCCCCAAAAGCACCAAGUCACAAGUAAAACGUCAGAGGACAGCACCACCUUCUUCUCCUCCUCCGGUAUCACCGAUUCGUGUGGAAUCGUCCCAUUCCUCACCAGAGAUCCAGACACAACAAGUACCAUCUCCACCUCAGCCACAAGAAGCACCUCAACUAGAAGAGACAUCAGCCGAUGUGCCUGAGCAAACUGCCGAUCCAGUGAGUCCAAUCAUGCCAUCGGUGGUCCCUCCAGAACAGACAAGCAUUGUACCCCCUCAAGGUAAAGUACCAUUCACAAGAUCACCACCGAUGGAUUUACUCCUUCAAAUUAUAAGCAACUUUAUUAUCCUUUCAGUUGACAUUGUUCCAUCAGCAACUUCAGCCGAUCAACCUAUGGUACCAUCAGCAUUAACUAGCCAGAGGCGAGAAAUAGCUCUGAAACAAGUAAGUUAUUUGAUUCUUAUACUUUGUCACUAAUAUUUCGUCAUCAAAUAACUUAUCUUUUUUUCUUUUCAGGAACAAGACUCUCCCGACAGCCUGUUUUCCUUUGCCAUCGAAAUUUCCGAUGAUGAAGGCGAGGAAGCAAGCUCUUCUCAAGCAAUAGGGAUUUCAUCAGCAGAAAUCAGAGCAAAGCUAGAAGAUCUGCUGGCUCUGCUUCAUCAGGACACUACUCAAUUAGUCGAUGACUCUGACCCAGCCAAAGCUCUGUUCAAAGCUCUCAGGGGUCAAAUUCCUGCCGAUGCCGAAGAGAUCCUUUUCCAGGCUGCACACUUGGAGAGCCACCAGCUCCAGUACCAAAAGGCCACCCAAUGCCUUGCCGAUUAGAGGAAGUAAUGUAAGUGAAACGUCUUGCUGAUGAGAAGCACAAGAGCAUCGGCAUCUUACAGUCCUUAGGAGAGACAUUAAGGCAGAAAAUCUCCGAUCUGUCGGCAAAAAGGGAAGCCCUGCUGGCAGAGCUCAAGCAAGUAGAAGAAGUCCUCUCUCAAGCUCAGCAAGAAGAAAGUCAACUACCUGAAAUGAUCAAGACCCUCUAGCAAGAAUGAAACAUUCAAGCCCGCAAAGCACUGUAGAUGAAGAAAAAGUUGAAGCCAGUGGAGGGCUCUGCCGAUGAGGACAUCUGGGAGAUAGAAGAAGCCGAUCAAAUCCAUCUGCGCGCCAUAUCGGCUAUCCAAACCUUGCGGAGUAUAUGAGCUCUCCAUCGGCGGCAUGUCUUGUUCUUCCUUUUAGAAACUGCUAACUAUUUUGGUCUAGCCGAUAGGAUUGUUAUCGGCAUCUCUCAAAACAUCAUACUCAGUCCCAGAUACCUCUUAAUCCAGCCGAUAGGAGUGUUAUCAGCACUUUAAACUUUCAUGCAUCGACCCAUAUGCUUGGGUAAUACUUCUUUAAAUAUUUUCCAUUCAAUGCUCUGGGAAAUUCAACUCCUUCGAGAGUCUCCAAAAUAUAAGCAUUACCAGGAGCAGACUGAUUUAUCCGAUAAGGAACUUCCCAAAUUUUAAACUUUUAGUCCCAAUCGGUAAGAUCAGUUUCCAUACCAGAUCUCCAUCGGCAAACUCCUUAGAUUUUACUCUUCUAUCAUACCACCUAGCAACUCUCUUUUUAUUUUCUUCUAUACUUAUCAAAGCCCUCAGCCGAUGCCCUGCUAAAUCGUCUAAUUCAUCUUUCAUCAAAGUAGCAUAGUCAUCGGCAGCCAACUGGUCUUGAAAACAUAAUCAGCUAGAUCCAGUCUUAAUUUCCCAUGUUAGCACCGCAUCAUGUCCAUACACCAACUGAUAAGGUGAAACUUUAGUCGACCCAUGACAUACCAUCCGAUAUGACCAUAAAGCUUCACCCAACAAUGCAUGCCACCUUCUAGGAUUUUUCUCAAUCUUUUGUUUGAUGAGUUUAAUAAUUCCUUUGUUAGAUGCCUCGGCCGGUCCAUUGGCUUGAGCAUAAUAAGGGGAAGAAUUCAACACUUUAAUCCCCAUACCGAUUGCAAAUUCAUCAAACUCCCUGAUGUAAACAUGGUACCUUGAUCGGUAGUAAUUGUUUGAGGAAUACCAAAUCGGUAAACAAUAUGCUCUUUCACAAAAUCAAUCAUAUUGGUUGUUGACGGUUCUUAAGUAUCAAUUUUAAUUAUCAAAUAAACAAGAGAAAGGACCAAUAUACAAACAACACCUAGAAUUAGGGUUUGAUCUGGCAGAAUUCCACGAGUUUUGUUGUUUAUCUGUUUCUGCAGGGGGUUAUCAGGAAAUAAGGAAGAAAGGCCCACACGUCGGGAUUACAUAGAGAUAUCAACGCACCGCGCAAUUUUCUACCAUCUAGAAGACUCCAGAAGCCACAAGAACGAAGCAGAGGCUGAAAGGGGCCAGGCCCAGGGCGCCCGCCCUGAGGACCUGGGCGCCCGCCCCCCUCUGUACUCUAAUCGGGACUCUUUUCGCACACGACGCUCCACCAACCUAAAGGAUCAAGGAUAACCGUCCAAUCAAUGUUGGUUUGAUCUAAUGGCUCACGUUCACUUGAGGGGACUAUAAAACCAGACCCCCUAGCCCCUGGAGGAGACAAGUUUAUCAUAGAGUUGAGGGGAGCCCUCGAAGGAAAACCUCUUCUCUAAAUAAAAUUUCUUUUUAGGCUUAGCAACCAAUGUGAGUAGAAAUAGAUCUUCUAGUUUCUACUAGAUUGAGAGAGAUAGAGUGGAGGUGUAGAUCGGAGGAAGCCUGGCCUGUCGGUGUCUACUCUGAGCUUGUACCUGCGGGAUCAAGUUCUCCUAACCCGAGGCUUGCUCCUAGGAUUCUUCAGUAUUUCGACUUCUAUAUUCUAGUAAGUUCUUGUUUUAUUGUUCUUUUGGUUUAUGAGUUUACUUUAAUCUCUUCGCGUAGAGUUUAGAGUAAUCAUCUCUAGCGUAGACGUGGUGUUUAAGCUAGGAUACUCAUAGAUAUUCCUGCACUAGCUAGACCGUGGUAGUAGCGAGGAACGUGACAUUUCUGAGUUACCUUUGCAAACAAUAUCUCGUUAGCAGGAAGGAUAGGGUUUAUAGGUGCGGGUUGAACAUCCUUUGUGGUGUCUAGAUUCCGUUAGCCUCCCUAAUAGAACAGUAGAUGAUCCUUACCAAGGUUAGAAGAAGAUUACGGUGGUAGUCUUCUCUAUUUAUCACUCACAUCGAUAAACAUUCUUUGUUGCCUAAAGGGUUAGUAGUAAUAGACCGGGGUUAGUCAGAUGCACUCUUUCUUCUAGUGGUAAAAAAAUAAAUACGAUACUCCGGAUAACCUCCCAGGUGAAGUGCUCACCGAUAUCCGUGCGCUUGCGGAUCAUUUCCUUAUUGCGUUCCCAAAUAUCAACAAGCAUUUCUGGCGCCGUUGCUGUGGAGAAAGAUGGUUUGCUGAGAUAAACUUGAGUCUUACUACUAGCUUGUAUCUAUACUUUUAUCUUUUCUUAUCUUUUAUAUUCUGUAUUUAUUUUCUUUACUCUUACCUUAUGGAAAACCAAGAUUCUAAAUCAAUCUACCAAUUUGCAACACCUUUGGAAUCUGACCUUUUACCAUGGGAAUCAUCACAGCCUAUCCAAACAUCCCAGUAUAGGUUAAGUUCUAGGUUGAUUGCCAUGAUUCAAAACCUAUCUUUUUCGGGAAAGGAAGACGAAAACCCUUACCUUCAUAUUAGAGAUUUUGAGCAAACAUGUGAUUGUCUUCGCAUUGAAGGCAUUUCUGAUAAAACAUUACGUUGGAAGCUUUUUCCUUUUUCCUUAAGGGGAGAAGCUAGACAAUGGUACAGUUAGAAGGUAAGUCAACAACGAGGUGAAUGGGGAGUUUUACGAGCCAACUUUUGUCUAGAUUUUUAUUCCCUCGACCGUAUCGGCGACCUUAGACUCGAAGUUCUAUCUUUUAAACAAAAAGAUAACGAAACUUUGGGAAAAUCCUAGAAACAUUUUUCUCAUCUUUUAGAAUCUGGUCCAAACCUUAAUCUUGAAGACCCUGUUCUUUUAUUUCACUUUUUUUGAGGUCUUCUAAAAAAUCACAAACAAAUGCUACACAUAAUGUCUAGAGGUUCUUUCUUUCGCAUCCCUACUGAUGAAGCUAGAGUGAUCCUAGAUAGAAUCCUAGAAGCUGAGAUGGAUAAUACCCUUCAUGAUGAAACCUACGAAGCCGAAGUAGACACUCUACCAAAUUCUUCAUCUACUUUAGCUAUCCCAGGUUCUGAGCCACAAGAGGAAGAAAUUCCACCACCGGACUUCAUGCUGGAUAUAGAAUCCGAUCUUUUUGCCGAUUUUGGAAACAUUUCAAACUACCAUUCUAUUGACAAACCCCAAAACGGCCAGUUUAGCAUUUAUUUGCCAAGUGAAUAUCAAUUGAGAGAGAUUAUCUCAGUCAUGAGUAGCGAGUGGUUGGAGGAAUCAGAGCUUUCCUCUGAUGUGAUCCGUUUGGACACACCCUCUAUAACUAUAUGCUGUGCUUAUAAUUCUGAUCGAUUUAAUGCUCUUUAUAAUUCUGUUGUGGGGAUCAACAUCAUGUCUGAAUCUUUUGCACUUAAACUAUUUAAAAAUCUUGUCUUAACCCCCACAACAAAGGUCAUAAAGGAAUCUUCGGGACGAUUAGUCCCCAGUCUUGGAAUUAUUAAUGUCCUACCUCUUACGGUAGAAGGCUCCAUGGUUCAUUUGAACUUCUAUAUCUUUGAUACAUGGGACUUCAACCUGUUGAUAGGACAACCUUUUAGAAGACUCCUUUAUGAAGGUCAUACUGGAAAGCUACACAUUUCUUUUGGAAAAGGUUUUAAAAUCCCAAUAACAAUUGCACACUCUUUGAAUAAUAAGGCCGAGUCAUAUCUUUUUCCUGAUCCUAUGGAGGAGGUAAAGGCUACAUCUCUUGAACUUUUAGAAGAAUCACACUUAGAAGACGAAACUCCUUUCUUCAUAGAAGAAGAAGCCGAACCUUAUGAACCUGAACCCUUAGAUGAGUUUGCAGAAACACCUAGACACCCCAUAGAGCUUAAAACUUUACCACCCAGUCUUAUCUAUGCUUUCCUAAACAAUAAUCUAGAAUUUCCUGUGAUCAUUAGCGAUAAACUCACUCAGGACCAAACUCUGCGAUUAAUGGCCAUUCUUGAGAAACAUCACUUAGUUUUCGGCUACUCACUCCAAGAUCUUACAGGAAUCAGUCCUAUGAUUUGUACCCAUCGUAUUCCAACAGAUCCUUCUGUUUCACCUUCUCGAGAACCCCAACGUAGACUUAACAACACUAUGAGAGAGGUAGUUAAAAAGGAAGUUAUAAAGUUGCUGCAUGCAGGGAUCAUAUAUCCUAUGCCGCAUAGUGAGUGGGUGAGCCCAGUACAAGUUGUGCCUAAAAAGGGAGGCAUGACUGUUAUUAUGAAUGAAAAGAACGAGCUAAUUCCACAACGCACCGUCACAGGAUGGCGGAUGUGCAUAGACUAUAGAAAACUAAACAAAGCCACAAGAAAGGAUCACUUUCCUUUACCUUUCAUAGAUGAGAUGCUAGGGCGAUUAGCGAACCAUUCGUUCUUCUGUUUCUUAGAUGGAUAUUCAGGGUAUCAUCAGAUCCCGAGCCAUCCCGAUGAUCAAAGCAAAACCACUUUUACAUACCCAUAUGGAACUUAUGCUUACCGUAGAAUGUCUUUUGGGUUAUGUAAUGCACCAGCUUCUUUUCAAAGAUGCAUGAUGUCUAUAUUUUCUGAUAUGAUUGAAGAGAUUAUGGAAGUUUUCAUGGAUGAUUUCUCUGUUUAUGGAAAAUCUUUUGGUAGUUGUCUUGAAAACUUAGACAAGGUUUUGCAAAGAUGUGAAGAAAAGCACUUAGUCCUUAAUUGGGAAAAAUGUCAUUUCAUGGUUAGGGAAGGAAUAGUGCUGGGACACCUAGUGUCUGAAAGAGGUAUUGAGGUAGACAAAGCUAAAAUUUAAGUAACUGAACAACUACCUCCACCUGUGAAUAUAAAAGGAAUUGGAAGCUCUCUUGGCCAUGCUGGUUUUUAUCAUAGAUUCAUAAAAGAUUUUUCAUUCAUUGCUAGACCACUUACCCUUUUGCUAGCCAAGGAUGCUCCUUUUGAAUUUGAUGACGCAUGUCUAACAUCUUUUAAUUUAUUAAAGAAAGCACUCACCUCUGCACCAAUCAUUCAACCCCCUGAUUGGCCAUUGCCUUUUGAAAUUUAUGUGUGAUGCUAGUGAUUAUGCUGUGGGGGCAGUAUUGGGACAAACUAAAAAUAAGAAGCAUUAUGCAAUUGCUUAUGCCAGUAAAACUUUGACAGGAGCUCAACUUAACUAUGCAACCACUGAAAAAGAGCUUCUGGCUGUUGUCUUUGCCAUUGAUAAAUUUAGAUCUUAUUUAGUUGGAGCUAAAAUAAUUGUUUACACUGAUCAUGCUGCACUAAAAUAUUUGCUCACUAAAAAAGAUUCUAAACCUCGCCUGAUUAGAUGGAUCUUAUUACUCCAAGAAUUUGACUUAGAAAUAAAAGAUAAAAAGGGAGUAGAAAAUUUCUUUGCAGAUCACUUGUCUAGAAUGUAUUUUAAGAGUCCACAGGAAACCCCCAUCAAUGAUUCACUCCGGGACGACAUGCUCUACGGGAUUAACAGGUCUGACCCCUGGUAUGUAGAUAUUGUUAAUUUUAUGGUUUCAGGGUAUGUACCGCCAGGAGCAAACAAGAAGAAGCUUUUUCAAGAAAGUAGUUCACAUAUAUGGGAUGAGCCAUACCUCUUCCGAGUAUGCUCUGAUGGCUUACUCAGGAGAUGUGUCGCCACUGAGGAAGGAUGGAAGAUCAUCGAUAGAUGUCAUUCAUCACCAUAUGGAGGUCACUAUGGAGCAUUCCCUACACAUUCAAAGAUCUGGCAGUGUGGAUUCUACUAGCCUACAAUGUAUGAAGACACGAAGCAAUAUAUCAGAAGAUGUGGGCCAUGUCAAAGGCAUGGAAACAUAAAUACAAGGGAUGCAAUGCCACUCACCAACAACCUUCAGAUUGAGCUCUUUGAUGUCUGGGGAAUAGACUAUAUGGGUCCAUUUCCUCCAUCAAAGAAAUGUGAGUACAUCUUGGUGGCAGUUGACUACGUCUCCAAGUGGGUAGAGGCAUUACCUUGCAUGCAUGCCGACAACAUCAGUUCAAAGAGGAUGUUUGAAGAAAUUAUAUUUCCAAGAUUUGGAGUCCCCAGAGUAGUGAUAAGUAAUGGAGGAGCACACUUCAUCGAUAAACGCUUCUAGCAAUAUCUAUCAAAACAUGGAAUCCAUCACAACGUCGCUACUCCCUAUCAUCCUCAGACAAGUGGCCACGCAGAGACUUCCAAUAAGCAAAUCAAGAAUAUUCUUCAGAAGACAUUAAAUGAAAUGGGGAUGGCGUGGAAAGACAAGUUACCCGAUGCACUCUGGGCAUACCGGACAGCAUACAAGACCCCAAUUGGAAUGUCUCCAUACCAAUUGGUGUACGGGAAGACUUGCAACCUACCUGUUGAACUAGAGUUCAAAGCACACUAGGCCAUAAAGAGAUGGAAUAUGGACCUAGAUGUUGCUGGAGAUCAUAGAAGAAUGCAACUAUCAGAAUUGGAAGAAUGGCGAGAGAAAGCAUAUCACAAUUCGAAGAUCUACAAAGAAAGAGUCAAAAGGUGGCAUGACAAGAGAAUCAAGAAGAAGGAGUUCACACCCGAAGAUAAGGUAUUACUUUUUAAUUCUAGGGUGAAGCUUUUCGGGCAUGGAAAACUCCAGAGUAAAUGGGAAGGACCAUUCAAGGUAAUUAAUUCAUCAUCCCACGGAGCUAUCACACUUCAAAAUGACGAAGGUACGUUAUUCAAGGUAAAUGGUCAACGUCUUAAAUUGUUUUUAGAGCCCGACCUUUUUAGUCUGACGUUUUCGGGUGAUACAUAUAUUUUCCUAAAUAGUUUUGCAUCUAGAAACACGCUCGAGGAAGCGGACCCACAGAGGAGACAGAGAGAGGGCGGGCGCCCAGAUCAGGUGGGCGGGUGCCCAGCUCCUGUGCCCCCCUCGGUCCCGAUUUUCUCUAUUAUGGAAAAUGCACUUAUGGUAGUCUGAAUAAUCCCUCAGAUGGAAAGUUUCGCACACACAUCGACGGGAGCAACCUGAACAACCCCUAGAGGCACUUUUUGACCCCUAUAUAAAUAGACCCCUGACAUCAGUUUUCAAACACCGAACCACCAAGCCUUCUCUUCUUCUUCAAUUAGAGCUCGAUUAGUCCCUUCCUGCUUCAAUGGCUGAGAAGUUCCACGAUGAUUGGGAAGUCGUCCCCUUCAACCUCAACAUGGAGCCGGUGGAAGACCCCGAUGCCCGUGCUCUCGUCCCGGCCAACACAGAGCGACAGCUAGAAGCCAUGCCAUUACGCCAACGCAGCUCCGCCCAAUCCAACCAUGCUCAACCAGUUCUCACCACACCGCCACAACCCCUACUCCUUAAGGGAUCAUCAUCCAAGACGAAGACCACCAUCAAGGUGCCAACCGACACAAGGAUCCUUCCACCUAGACCCAAUGAGAGGGUCGUUGGAGUCAAGACCAACCGGAGCGGCGAGAUCAGCAGCAUACGCUACACUACGGAGGAGGAAAGGCCUUAUUUCGAAGGGAUUAGAGCAGCCAAAGUCUGUUUCAUCCCUCCAAAGGCAGCCCCGAAGCACGCUCUCAAUGCUUUUGAGACACCUCCCAAGCGUCGUAAGACUAUAGUAGAUAUUGAUGAGAACGUUCGCAGGCUAGACAGAGUUAUCAUAGAUUAGACCUUGAGGCAGCUCUCCAGUCCUCGAUUAAUUCCCUCACUAGGCAGCUCUCUAACCACAACACCGUUAUACUAGGCCUUAGGCAAGAUCUUGCCAGUGCCAAUAAGAAGAUUAAGGAAUUAGAGCGCCGCUAAGUUAUCUAGAUUAGACCUUGAGGCAAUGCAUCUUAGUCAUUUAUCUUUAAAUUCAGUUUAGGUUUACUAUUAUCGUCAGUUUGCUACUAGUCAGUUGUAAUAAAUGCCUCAAGAUUAAUAAAGAGUAUUAUUAUUAUUAUGUCUUGUGUGUCUCUACUUUAUUUUUGUGCAAGAAAGCAGAAAACAAGUAUGGGGGAGAUCCCUCGACACGCCAAACACACUUCGACUACACCACUCCACAAUUUAGGUACAAACUCUGCACACUUUACUUUACAUAUACACAUAUCUUGGAUUAUGCAGAAUAUUGUUUCCGAUAUGAUAAAGAUUAAAAUGUUUCUAAUCAUGAUUAAUCACUCUGUGAUAUUUCCUGAAAAAUUGCAACUAUUAUAAAAUCAUUUUAAAACCCUGUGUUACUUAAGUCAGUAUGGAAUGUGAGAUGGUAGAGUAUGAGUUUCUUAUUCUUGAUAUCAUUGUUGCUUGGAGAAUUUAUUUGAAAAUCUUCAAUAUUCUAGCUACCAUCCUCAGUGUUUUAUAUGCCUGAUAAAAACUGAAAAUAUUAAUUAUGAUUAUAAAAGCUAUCUACUCUGUAUUGAGUUUGUUCAAAAUGAGUUAGACCCUUGUUGAGAGAUUUAUCAUGCUCCUAAGAUCAAGACAUUUAUUCAGAAAGAUUCACUCUUCCGAAGUAUUAUUGCAUUAGAGGCAUGGGCUAUGCAAAAAAAAAGAUAUUUCGAGGAAAUAAAAAGGAGCAAGUGCUCGAUAACCUCGCAGAAAAAAUGGACAAGCGUCCAGCAGUAGAAUUAGGGGUACCUCGGUAUCCACUUAAAAAAAAAGAAGAAAAAGAAAAUGAUAGCCCAUUGUCCCUCUAAUAAGCAAUAUGCCAGCAAGAGUUGACAAAUAUUUUAAUUUUCAAAGUCUUUGAUCUAAGAGUAUGACAUUCCCCUCCUCGGAUCCCGUUUUGAUCAGGCAAUAAAUACAAGGUAAGUAUGCUUGAGAAUUUUUGCAAAUUAAAACAGCCUCAAUGAGAUGUAUAAAAGAUAAUGUGUAAUCUGAGAAGACCUAUGAGGAUAAAAGGUAUGCUAACUUUCUUUCAAAAAUAUACAAAAACUCGAAGUGACAGGAUUGAGCAGAAAGGAUCUCAACUCUUAACCAUAUACUUCCGUGACUUUAAAAAUGUUUUACCCCAGAUAUUGUUCUUAACCAUCCUUUUCUCGAGGACGAGUAAAAGCCUAAGUAUGGGGGUAUUUGUUGACGGUUCUUAAGUAUCAAUUUUAAUUAUCAAAUAAACAAGAGAAAGGACCAAUAUACAAACAACACCUAGAAUUAGGGCUUGACCUGGUAGAAUUCCACAAGUUUUGUUGUUUAUCUGUUUCUGCAGGGGGUUAUCAGGAAAUAAGGAAGAAAGGCCCACAUGUCGGGAUUACAUAGAGAUAUCAACGCACCGCGCAAUUUUCUACCAUCUAGAAGACCCCAGAAGCCACGAGAACGAAGCAGAGGCCGAAACGGGCCAGGACCAGGGCGCCCGCCCUGAGGACCUAGGCGCACGCCCCCCUCUGUACUCCAAUCGGGACUCUUUUCGCACACGACGCUCCACCGACCUAAAGGAUCAAGGAUAACCAUCCAAUCAAUGUCAGUUUGAUCCAAUGACUCACGUUCACUAGAGGGGACUAUAAAACCAGACCCCCGGGCCCCUAGAGGUGACAAGUUUAUCAUAGAGUUGAGGGGAGCCCUCGAAGGAAAACCUCUUCUCUAAAUAAAAUUUCUUUUUAGGCUUAGUAACCAAUGUGAGUAGAAAUAGAUCUUCUAGUUUCUACUAGAUUGAGAGAGAUAGAGUGGAGGUGUAGAUCGGAGGAAGCCCGGCC
rnacentral:lncRNA from 1 species